rnacentral:rRNA from 1 species
AGAGUUUGAUCCUGGCUCAGAGUGAACGCUGGCGGUAGGCCUAACACAUGCAAGUCGAACGGCAGCACAGUAAGAGCUUGCUCUUAUGGGUGGCGAGUGGCGGACGGGUGAGGAAUACAUCGGAAUCUACUUUUUCGUGGGGGAUAACGUAGGGAAACUUACGCUAAUACCGCAUACGACCUACGGGUGAAAGCAGGGGAUCUUCGGACCUUGCGCGAUUGAAUGAGCCGAUGUCGGAUUAGCUAGUUGGCGGGGUAAAGGCCCACCAAGGCGACGAUCCGUAGCUGGUCUGAGAGGAUGAUCAGCCACACUGGAACUGAGACACGGUCCAGACUCCUACGGGAGGCAGCAGUGGGGAAUAUUGGACAAUGGGCGCAAGCCUGAUCCAGCCAUACCGCGUGGGUGAAGAAGGCCUUCGGGUUGUAAAGCCCUUUUGUUGGGAAAGAAAUCCAGCCGGCUAAUACCUGGUUGGGA